rnacentral:hammerhead_ribozyme from 1 species
GCACUGCUGAGUAGUCCUAUAAUAGGACGAAACGGCCUUCCAGUGC